CGUCUGCCUGCACGCUGCCAUGCUCUCCACCACGAUGAUAAUGGACUGAACUUCUGAACUAGACCCUCACAGGUCUCAGAGUUACACAGAGAAGCAGUCAGGACCAGACGCCUGGAUGAAGCUCUCCAAUCGCAAAGCUGCUUCUCCACCGAUAGAGCAAUGAUGGCCUGUGGUGAGGAGGGACGGAAUAAAAAGCAAUCUAUGUUA